CGAAAAUAUUUUAAUAAGCAAUUUGAAAAACGUAAAAGUAAUCUGAAAGAUACAGUUCAUAGAAAUUAAUUGGUUCUUUGAUUAAACGUAAAACAAAACGGUCAAGUACAGGAUUUUGUUGGAAAUAUCGGGGAGGUGGAAAAAUAUUUAGGGAAGGUGCAGCGAAUUAAUGAGUUAUGACUGUACAACUCAUCCAAUUUUGCCCUUCAUUACAAUGGACCAUUUGCAUUAUAGACUAC